rnacentral:rRNA from 1 species
CCUCGGGCGGUCCCGCGCCCGGCCCGCGUCCCCGCCCCGUGCCAGCAGCCGGGGUAAUCCGGAGGGAGCUAGCGUUGUUUGGAAUUACUGGGGGUAAAGCGGGCGUAGGCGGCUAUUCAAGUCAGAGGUGAAAGCCCGGAGCUUAACUCCAGAACUGCCUUUGAAACUAGGUAGCUAGAAUCUUGGAGAGGUGAGUGGAAUUCCGAGUGUAGAGGUGAAAUUCGUAGAUAUUCGGAAGAACACCAGUGGCGAAGGCGACUCCCUGGGCAAUUAUUGACGCUGAGGUACGAAAGCGUGGGGAGCAAACAGGAUUAGAUACCCUGGUAGUCCACCCUGUAAACGAUGAUAACUAGCUGUCCGGGCUCUCAGACCUCGGUGGCGCAGCUAACGCAUUAAGCAAUCCGCCUGGGGAGUACGGUCGCAAGAUUAAAACUUCAAAGGAAUUGACGGGGCCCGCACAAGCGGGGAG